CAGUCGCCGCGGUAAUACGUAGGUGGCAAGCGUUGUCCGGAAUUAUUGGGCGUAAAGGGCUCGCAGGCGGUUUCUUAAGUCUGAUGUGAAAGCCCCCGGCUCAACCGGGGAGGGUCAUUGGAAACUGGGAAACUUGAGUGCAGAAGAGGAGAGUGGAAUUCCACGUGUAGCGGUGAAAUGCGUAGAGAUGUGGAGGAACACCAGUGGCGAAGGCGACUCUCUGGUCUGUAACUGACGCUGAGGAGCGAAAGCGUGGGGAGCGAACAGGAUUAGAUACCCGCGUAGUCCCUGUCUCUUAUAC
rnacentral:rRNA from 1 species